rnacentral:rRNA from 1 species
GACGAACGCUGGCGGCGUGCCUAAUACAUGCAAGUUGAGCGCUGAAGGUUGGUACUUGUACCAACUGGAUGAGCAGCGAACGGGUGAGUAACGCGUGGGGAAUCUGCCUUUGAGCGGGGGACAACAUUUGGAAACGAAUGCUAAUACCGCAUAAAAACUUUAAACACAAGUUUUAAGUUUGAAAGAUGCAAUUGCAUCACUCAAAGAUGAUCCCGCGUUGUAUUAGCUAGUUGGUGAGGUAAAGGCUCACCAAGGCGAUGAUACAUAGCCGACCUGAGAGGGUGAUCGGCCACAGUGGGACUGAGACACGGCCCAAACUCCUACGGGAGGCAGCAGUAGGGAAUCUUCGGCAAUGGACGAAAGGCUGACCGAGCAACGCCGCGUGAGUGAAGAAGGUUUUCGGAUCGUAAAACUCUGUUGGUAGAGAAGAACGUUGGUGAGAGUGGAAAGCUCAUCAAGUGACGGUAACUACCCAGAAAGGGACGGCUAACUACGUG